rnacentral:rRNA from 1 species
AGUGAACGCUGGCGGUAGGCCUAACACAUGCAAGUCGAACGGCAGCACAGGAGAGCUUGCUCUCUGGGUGGCGAGCGGCGGACGGGUGAGGAAUACAUCGGAAUCUACUCUGUCGUGGGGGAUAACGUAGGGAAACUUACGCUAAUACCGCAUACGACCUACGGGUGAAAGCAGGGGAUCUUCGGACCUUGCGCGAUUGAAUGAGCCGAUGUCGGAUUAGCUAGUUGGCGGGGUAAAGGCCCACCAAGGCGACGAUCCGUAGCUGGUCUGAGAAGAUGAUCAGCCACACUGGAACUGAGACACGGUCCAGACUCCUACGGGAGGCAGCAGUGGGGAAUAUUGGACAAUGGGCGCAAGCCUGAUCCAGCCAUACCGCGUGGGUGAAGAAGGCCUUCGGGUUGUAAAGCCCUUUUGUUGGGAAAGAAAUCCAGCUGGCUAAUACCCGGUUGGGAUGACGGUACCCAAAGAAUAAGCACCGGCUAACUUCGUGCCAGCCGCCGCCGUAA